AGGUUUGACAUACAAGUAGUAGGAAAGGAACUGGACCGACCCGUUCGGGAGCUUUGUACAGGUGCUGGCAUGGCUGUCGUCAGCUCGUGUCGUGAGAUGUUCGGUUAAGUCCGCUAACGAGCGCAACCCUCGCUGUGUGUUACAAGUGUCACACGGAACUGCCGGUCAUAAACCGGAGGAAGGUGGGAUGACGUCAAGUCAGCAUGGCCUUUAUAUCCUGGGCUACACACACGCUACAAUGGGAAGGGACAAUAGGUUGCGAAGCCGCGAGGCGGAGCCAAUCCAGCAAAACUUCCCUCAGUUCAGAUUGCAGGCUGCAACUCGCCUGCAUGAAGUUGGAGUUGCUAGUAAACGCAGGUCAGCCAUACUGCGUUGAAUACGUUCCCGGGGCUU
rnacentral:rRNA from 1 species